ACACUUGAUUCUGCGGAGGAGCCCAUAGUACUGAAGUGUAUGUCAUGCUCCUGUGCAGCAGACUGCACACUUCAGUACCCUGAGCUUCAAGACUGUGCCGCUGCCACUCCCAUGUACCAGCGCAUUGCAGACUGAGCACCUGCUGAGGACACAGGUCAGGGCUUCUUCUGGAUCCUCACAUCAUGGCCAGCGGGGAAAAAUUGAAACACAUUCAUCCACAACCGGGGAUAUGCAAAUUGCUGCAUGGGCUUGAUGACCUUCAUUUGGUGGACUCUAAUUUUGGCCCUGUAAAACUGCAUUGAGAAUUGUUGGUAAAAAUCUAUAACUCUGUAUAGUUAGAUUUAGGAAAGAUGCAUAUUAUGCCAUAUACUGAAAUUCAAUGCAGAUAUGUCUUAGGAGGCCUGCACAGCUUGAAGGGCAUUCCAUAUCUGCAAGUAUGU